rnacentral:rRNA from 1 species
UACGUAGGGUGCAAGCGUUAAUCGGAAUUACUGGGCGUAAAGCGUGCGCAGGCGGUUAUGCAAGACAGAGGUGAAAUCCCCGGGCUCAACCUGGGAACUGCCUUUGUGACUGCAUGACUAGAGUACGGUAGAGGGGGAUGGAAUUCCGCGUGUAGCAGUGAAAUGCGUAGAGAUGCGGAGGAACACCGAUGGCGAAGGCAGCCCCCUGGGCUAACACUGACACUCAGGCACGAAAGCGUGGGGAGCAAACAGG